GUCCAUAUGUGAGCAUGGCCAAAAAGUUGCUGUUCAGGCUGGGCUUCUUUGUGAUCUGGACAGUCUGCCAUGGUUAUACUGAAGUCUCUAAGCCAACAGUGAUCCAACAGCCCAGUGGGUCUAACAUAUACAGAGGAGAAACAGUCACUCUGAGAUGUGAGAUCUAUGAGGGUGGAGGAGCUCAGUG